UAUGUUGUUGGAAGUGCUGGAAGCAAACACAAGGUUGAUCUAUUGAAGAAUAAGUUUGGUUUUGAUGAUGCUUUCAACUAUAAGGAAGAGCCGGAUUUAGAUGCUGCUUUGAAAAGGUACUUUCCUGAAGGAAUAGAUAUAUACUUCGAAAAUGUUGGAGGAAAGAUGCUUGAUGCAGUGCUGCUCAACAUGAGGGUCCAUGGGCGAAUUUCUGUUUGUGGAAUGAUCUCACAAUACAACCUUGAGCAGCCUGAAGGUGUGCACAACUUGAUGCAACUCGUUGUAAAACGAAUUCGCAUGGAAGGAUUCAUGGUACAUGAUUAUUAUCACCUAUACUCAAAAUAUCUGGAAAUGGUCUU
rnacentral:misc_RNA from 1 species